ACUGGAUUACCACAUGCCCUGAUAAUGUAAGGCAGAAUGGAUGCAGCUGAAUUGAUUAACGUAUAUCCUAGAGAAACGGGAGCUCGUCCUCGCACUCAAAGACAAGCCAGUAGAUAAAAUAGUAAAUUAAAAAAUUUUAAGCAUAGAUUUAAUAAACAAAAAUAUUUGUUUAUCGCAGGAAGAGAAUUUUUGAAUUCCGGAUAAGUGUGAGCAAUGACUUUAUAGAAAUUCACAGAUUGAGGAAUUCCCUCAUUCAUGGCAUUUUCAUUUUGGAUAAACCCAAACUCAAUUUAAUUAUUUUUUUAACCUUUCCAUAAAAUUGUUCGGAAUCCCAUAAAAUACUGGUCAAUUCUGUACAUAU